GAAGGCCUACCCCGCCCCUCUGCGAUCUCAGCAACCAUUGCUGUCUGAGCCUCAGUUUCUUUCUUUCUGCCGUACGCACUGGGCCUCCGCCUUGGGUCUAGGGUGAUUGUACCCUGGGGUUGUUGGUCCAUACGCGCUGUGCAGGAAGCACUGUGGUCUGGGAGUUUCAGACCCUCACAAGGUUGUCACAUUAGACUCCCCAACACAUGUGCACCUUUAGGACGUCAUCUCAAGGGCCAGACCUGAGGUGCCCUGGGACAUCUCUCAUCGCUAUGCUAGUGGACUUGGUUGGCAGAUUCCUGCCUGGCUGGUGAUGCAGGCGCCUCGCCUCCUACCUGGUCCCUCAAGUAGCUCUGAGCUACAAGGAGCAGCUGCCCCUCCCCCAAGC
rnacentral:lncRNA from 1 species